rnacentral:rRNA from 1 species
UACGUAGGUGUCGAGCGUUGUCCGGAUUUAUUGGGCGUAAAGAGCCCGCAGGCGGCUUGGCAAGUUUGGGGUGAAAUCUCCCGGCUCAACUGGGAGGGUGCCCUGAAAACUGUCAGGCUUGAGUCAUGGAGAGGGAUGUGGAAUUCCAGGUGUAGUGGUGAAAUGCGUAGAUAUCGAGAGGAACACCAGUGGCGAAGGCGAGUCCCUGGACACUUCCUGACACUGAGGCACGAAAGCUAGGGGAGCAAACAGG